CACCCCCAUUAAUUUCAAGCUAUUUUUCUUGGGAGAAAAAAAAUGUCCUCUAUUAAUUGCUCACACAGCAUCCUAUUUAUAAACACCCCCAACUGUUUCAAAUUCCCUCCUUGCUUCAUAUUCAACAUCAAAGUUUGCGUCUUUCGAGCCGCCCAGUGCCAAGUAUACGUAGCAGACUGACGUUACAUACGCAUUACAUAUACACACCAAGGAGAACAAAGGGUCACUGCAACUGAGAAAUGGAAGCGGAUCAAGGGUGUACUACUCCCAAGAACCAGGAGUAUCAGAUACCGGCGGCGCUGGUGUGUCCGCCGCCCCCGAGGAAGAGGACUGAGCGGCGGACGAAGAGGGAGCCGCCCAAGAAGGGCUACUUCCAGUCUCCGGAGCUUGAUAUCUUCUUCGGCACUGCGGCUCACGGCCGUGAAGCUUGCGCCUAACUAGUUAUGAUGAAUGACAAGUUAUGAGAUAUGGGUCUGUAAAUCGGUGCGGUGGCGAUGGAAGCCAAUAACCAUCAAUUAUUGGAAACAAAAGGGAGGAAAGAAACAAAACUGAUAAGAACGUGUUUCCUGUUUUCCAGUGGAACCCAUUUUCUAUGGUGUACUUCUAUAUUGCCCUUUUUUUUGUCAAAUUUACACAUUAAAGUUGGAAUUUCCCACCAAGAUGUGGUGUGAAAUUAAUUUAUCUACUUUUGUGACUUUUCCAUAUAUGGAGUUUAUCUUUACAAUGUGUAGCUAUUUACGGAUGUAAAAUUUGGUAACUAUUGUAAAUAUCCAAAUCGGGCUGAAACAUUUACUGCUGAAAGAAAUUGAGAUUUCGUCACAAAAA